GACGAACGCUGGCGGCGUGCUUAACACAUGCAAGUCGAACGGAAAGGCCCUGCUUGCAGGGUACUCGAGUGGCGAACGGGUGAGUAACACGUGGGUGAUCUGCCCUGCACUUCGGGAUAAGCCUGGGAAACUGGGUCUAAUACCGGAUAGGAGCCAUUUUACGUGUGAUGGUUGGAAAGUUUUUUCGGUGUAGGAUGAGCUUGCGGCCUAUCAGCUUGUUGGUGGGGUAAUGGCCUACCAAGGCGGCGACGGGUAGCCGGCCUGAGAGGGUGGACGGCCACAUUGGGACUGAGGUACGGCCCAGACUCCUACGGGAGGCAGCAGUGGGGAAUAUUGCACCAUGGGCGCAAGCCUGAUGCAGAGACGCCGCGUGGGGGAUGACGGCCUUCGGGUUGUAAACACCUUUCGCUAGGGACGAAGCUUUUUGUGACGGUACCUAGAUAAGAAGCACCGGCUAACUACGUG
rnacentral:rRNA from 1 species